UUUUCGUCUUCCUUUUAGUUUGAUGUAUGUCUCCACAGUCCUGUUUUUGUUACCAACUUUGAACUUCCGUAAAUCUCAAAUUUUGUUUUGGUUCGCGGAGCAACUGUUUUUCGAAGCCUCAUAUUGUGGUAAAUUGCUCGAAAUAUGGA